rnacentral:rRNA from 1 species
GAUGAACGCUGGCGGCGUGCUUAACACAUGCAAGUCGAACGGGACUUGUUAAGUUGAAACUUCGGUCGAUUCUUUUCAAGUCUAGUGGCGGACGGGUGAGUAACGCGUGGGUAACCUGCCUCACACUGGGGGAUAACAGUCAGAAAUGACUGCUAAUACCGCAUAAGCGCACAGCAUCGCAUGAUGCAGUGUGAAAAGCUCCGGUGGUGUGAGAUGGCCUCGCGUCCGAUUAGCUGGUUGGUGAGGUAAUGGCCCACCAAGGCGACGAUCGGUAGCCGGACUGAGAGGUUGAACGGCCACAUUGGGACUGAGACACGGCCCAG